CACCUCUCAGAGUCGCACCUGGAGAGUUUCCGGUUCUCUAUCAGUCUCGACUAUGGGAGGGAGAGUCAAGCAGAGGCCUGUCCAUUCCAUUCCUAGCUUGACCAGUGGCUAGUGAGUGGAAGGCCAUCUGCUACAAGU